GAGCUAUUGGAUAUAGACGUCCGAUCGGGGCGCGUCUCAAAAUUUAUCUUUAUACACAGGAUUUAUGGCGACUGUGUUUCAAACUAUUAACUUUUAAACUGAGAGACUAGUUUGCAUAGAAACGGACGGACAGACGGACAUGGCUAUAUCGACUCCCCUAUUGAUCCUGAUCAAGAAUAUAUAUACUUUAUGCGGUCGGAAACUUCUGACAUCCUCUGCAAGGGUAUAACAAACAAAAUCGUAAAAAGAAAAGCACACAAAAAAAAACAUAAAACCAAAUAAGAAUGCAACAAAAAAAGUAAAUAUAGAAAAUAAUUAUUCAAAAACUUGUUUGAAACCAGAUUCGAACCGGCGCCGUCCUUUCUAAUAGACGAGUACUUUGAUCACUACACCACAAUGCCACCUAGGAGGCGGCCGACAAGAUAUGUACAUACAUAUAAUGUUAAGACUUCGAUUUGCAAGAGCGUGUUCAAAAAACACUAGCACAGACAAAGCGUCAAACAGAGACAACACAUACUAUGAAAAUCGUGGGUCCUCAUCGAAAAUCAACGCCGAAAAUUGUUUUUAUAUAAUUGUGAUAUAACUGAUUUUAAAUCGAAACGAUCUUUAAAUUAGUUAAAGUAAAAAUUUUGCAUGUAUUUAAUGGUAAAAGUCUGGCUCAGCAUAUUUUCAAGCCUAGGUACUCCCCAGCACUGGCGAAUACGUAUGUAUGUAUGUAUGUAUAUAGACACAGCUGCGCGCUUUUGUAUUUGCUAUAUGCAUGUUGUUUGUCUUACCGGACAGCGUUGUUGUUGCUUUUGCCGACG